GAUGAACGCUGGCGGUAUGCCUAACACAUGCAAGUCGUACGAGAGUUUUUAACUCUAGUGGCGGACGGGUGAGUAACACGUGAGAAUUUGCCUUUAGGAGGGGGAUAACAAUUGGAAACGAAUGCUAAUACCCCAUAUGCUUUUGAGUGAAAUGGAUUUUAUCCGCCUAGAGAGAAGCUCGCGGCUGAUUAGCUUGUUGGUAAGGUAAGAGCUUACCAAGGCGACGAUCAGUAUCUGGUUUGAGAGGACGAUCAGACACACUGGAACUGAGACACGGUCCAGACUCCUACGGGAGGCAGCAGUGGGGAAUUUUCCGCAAUGGGCGAAAGCCUGACGGAGCAAUACCGCGUGAAGGAUGAAGGCCUGUGGGUUGUAAACCUCUUUUUCAGGGAGGAAUAAAAUGACGUGUACCUGAAGAAUAAGCAUCGGCUAACUCCGUG
rnacentral:rRNA from 1 species